GAUGAACGCUGGCGGCGUGCCUAAUACAUGCAAGUCGAGCGAACAGACGAGGAGCUUGCUCCUCUGACGUUAGCGGCGGACGGGUGAGUAACACGUGGAUAACCUACCUAUAAGACUGGGAUAACUUCGGGAAACCGGAGCUAAUACCGGAUAAUAUAUUGAACCGCAUGGUUCAAUAGUGAAAGACGGUUUUGCUGUCACUUAUAGAUGGAUCCGCGCCGCAUUAGCUAGUUGGUAAGGUAACGGCUUACCAAGGCAACGAUGCGUAGCCGACCUGAGAGGGUGAUCGGCCACACUGGAACUGAGCCACGGUCCUGACUCCUACGGGAGGCAGCAGUAGGGAAUCUUCCGCAAUGGGCGAAAGCUUGACGGAGCAACGCCGCGUGAGUGAUGAAGGUCUUCGGAUCGUAAAACUCUGUUAUUAGGGAAGAACAAAUGUGUAAGUAACUAUGCACGUCUUGACGGUACCUAAUCAGAAAGCCACGGCUAACUACGUG
rnacentral:rRNA from 1 species